rnacentral:rRNA from 1 species
GGGGAAUACUGCGCAAUGGGGGGAACCCUGACGCAGCCAUGCCGCGUGAAUGAAGAAGGCCUUAGGGUUGUAAAGUUCUUUCGGUAUUGAGGAAGGUUGAUGUGUUAAUAGCACAUCAAAUUGACGUUAAAUACAGAAGAAGCACCGGCUAACUCCGUGCCAGCAGCCGCGGUAAUACGGAGGGUGCGAGCGUUAAUCGGAAUAACUGGGCGUAAAGGGCACGCAGGCGGUUAUUUAAGUGAGGUGUGAAAGCCCCGGGCUUAACCUGGGAAUUGCAUUUCAGACUGGGUAACUAGAGUACUUUAGGGAGGGGUAGAAUUCCACGUGUAGCGGUGAAAUGCGUAGAGAUGUGGAGGAAUACCGAAGGCGAAGGCAGCCCCUUGGGAAUGUACUGACGCUCAUGUGCGAAAGCGUGGGGAGCAAACAGGAUUAGAUACCCUGGUAGUCCACGCUGUAAACGCUGUCGAUUUGGGGGUUGGGGUUUAACUCUGGCGCCCGUAGCUAACGUGAUAAAUCGACCGCCUGGGGAGUACGGCCGCAAGGUUA